GAUCGUGGUGAUGUGAGCGGUCUGCCACCCACGACAUCAUGAGAAGUCCACUGAACCAUAUCAUUUAGAGGAAGGAGAAGUCAUAACAAGGUUUCCCUAGGUGAACCUAUGGAAGGAUCAUUG
rnacentral:rRNA from 1 species